CUACGGGACGCAGCAGUGAGGAAUAUUGGUCAAUGGGCGCGAGCCUGAACCAGCCAUCCCGCGUGCAGGAUGACGGCCCUAUGGGUUGUAAACUGCUUUUCUAUGCCAAGAAACCUGAUUACGUGUAAUCAGUUGCCGGUAGCAUAGGAAUAAGCAUCGGCUAACUCCGUGCCAGCAGCCGCGGUAAUACGGAGGAUGCAAGCGUUAUCCGGAUUCAUUGGGUUUAAAGGGUGCGCAGGUGGGCUUGUAAGUCAGUGGUGAAAUGCUGCCGCUUAACGGUAGAACUGCCAUUGAUACUGCGAGUCUUGAGUAUGGUUGAGGUAGGCGGAAUGUGUUGUGUAGCGGUGAAAUGCAUAGAUAUGACACAGAACGCCAAUUGCGAAGGCAGCUUACUAAGCCAUUACUGACGCUGAGGCACGAAAGCGUGGGGAGCGAACAGGAUUAGAUACCCGGGUAGUC
rnacentral:rRNA from 1 species